rnacentral:tRNA from 7 species
UGGGUUGGCCGAGAGGCGAGGCAGCGGCCUGCAAAGCCGUAUACACGGGUUCGAAUCCCGUACCC